GUCUGGAGACACACCUCGCUCCCUGCUUCCUUCACUGUCUUGUCUGCAGAGCUCUGUUUGGUGGCUCCUCUCUCCCCCUUGUGUCCAGCCACUCUCAGAACACUUUCAUCAGAGUCACGUUCCUGAGUCCAGUCAUGGGAACUGGUGGAAGUACGCAUCGGCAGUGCAAUAUCACCAUAACGAAUGGAUGCAGGAGAUACUACCUUUCCACCCCCAGGUGGUACACCGACAGCGGAUUUUGCGAUACACCCUUUCCACCCACCAUUCCUUCCAAUGAUAAUGGGUUUGCUGUGUUCAAGAAGACUCCAGACACCGCUCGUGGAGCCGUCGGUGUCAUCGUCUACGACGUCAAGCACAACAGCAGCCACCAAAUAAUUGACCAAAUUGCUAUAAUGUUCCGUAAUCCCUACGACUUUAACUUGUACUCAAACUUGUUUGCAGUGGGAAUCCUUGAGAGGUCCAGGAAUUGUGAUGAGGAUCUGUUUGAUGAGAUGGAGACUGGAACGGGGAACUACUUUUUCAGAAGCAAAGCAGGUGACGGUGCCUUGACUUACAGAGGCUCUCGAGUUACCAUUAAGGCGACGAUGUCAGACGUCCCUCAGCCUGUGAUGAAGGUGGAUGUUAGUGAGACUUGAGGCUGAAGCUAUCUUAACUCUGUUUUGGAAUUUAUAUCUUUGCGUCAUUUGAAAAAAUGUUUAAUCAAAUGGUGAAAAAAAGCUAUCCACUGAAAUAUAUCAAUGAAUAGAAAAACUAUGGAUUUUGUUUUUGCUUUAUUUCUUCUGCUUUCAAUAAAAUUACACCACACCUCACAACUUGAAGUCCAGAAGAAUCCAAAACACAAAAGUAUAAUCAGCAAAUACGAGCAUGUCUUGUCCAAAGUUUGGACUGUACUACAUACGUCUAUCCUGACAGUGUCACUGUAAGUUUUUCUUCCGAUGGUAAGCUUCCAUUUUCUAAGCUGAAUGUUAAAUAAAUGUGUUUGCUU